ACAGUAUAAGAUUGAGUAUCCAUACUUCAAUGGCAGUCAUCUUCUUAUGGACUAACUUAUCCUGUUCAAAACAACUUAUAAUCGGAAGUUCCUGCCAGAGCUACUAUCUCUCCUAAAAAAAGGCAACUCCGAAUAGCAUAUCUUCUCAGGAGACUGAAGACAAAACUAUAUUGACUUCUGCAUAUGUGAAAUAAUUAGUAACAUUAACAUAAUGAUGCAUUCGAAUAUUCUUGUGCAUUCUGAUAUAGUGAUAUUGGAAUAUAUAGAUGAAAACUGAUUAAGAGUCCUAGUCAUCUUAAUUAUCCUCUUAAUUUCUAAAUGAAGAAAGUUUAAUUUUUAUCUUUUUUAUGUUUUCAAAAAAUAACAUAUAUAUUUGAAUUUUACUUAUUUUAGUAUUAGUAAGAUAAAUUAGGACUCUCAAUCAUUACUCGGAUGAACACUAGCUAAUAUGCUCAUAUGAUUUUGUUGCUUUUAGAUUAACGGAAAUGUCUCCAAGGAGGAAGUAUUUGCUCAAAUUGACAGUGCACUUACGAGUCUUCUGGAACAAAGGAAGGCUGCAUCAGGAUCUGUGGCCGCUUAGAUUAGCAUCUUUUGACAUUUUGAUCUAUCCUGACGUCCUGCUCUUGAAAGCAUUGUGAUUGGCUACAACCAUACAUGAAGACUUGUGAUCAUAAAUUGCACGGUAUGCUUUGGAAGUUUACUUUCUAAGAUAGUGGUUGAAGAUUUUUUUUUUUUAAAUUUUGAAUGCAAUGAGCCAAUGAGGAGCAUGUAAAUGGAGGAUUUGGUAGAUUAUGUUUGUUUCCGGUUGUUGUUUGGUUGGUAUGUUGUGUCCUUUAUCAUUUUCUAUAGAUUAAUUGAUGAUUGAAUGUAUUUGUUCGACCAAAAGAAAUAAAAAGAAAUCAUUUGUUCGA